rnacentral:misc_RNA from 1 species
AACUUUUGACAAUGGAUCUCUUGGCUCUCGCAUCGAUGAAGAACGCAGCGAAAUGCGAUAAGUAAUGUGAUUUGCAGAAUUCAGUGAAUCAUCGAAUCUUUGAACGAACUUUGCGCUCCUUGGUAUUCCGAGGAGCAUGCCUGUUUGAGGGUCAUUAAAUUCUCAACCUUCCAGCUUUUAUUAGCUUGGUUAGGCUUGGAUGUGGGGGUUGUGGGCUUCAUUAAUGAGGUCAGCUCUCCUUAAAUGCAUUAGCGGAACUUUUGUGGACCGUCUAUUGGUGUGAUAAUUAUCUACGCCGUGGAUGUGAAGCAGCUUUAUGAAGUUCAGCUUCUAAUCGUCCAUUGACUUGGACAAUUUUUGACAAUUUGACCUCAAAUCAGGUAGGACUACCCGCUGAACUUAAGCAUAUCAAUAAGCGGAGGC